rnacentral:rRNA from 1 species
UACGAAGGGGGCUAGCGUUGUUCGGAAUUACUGGGCGUAAAGCGUGCGCAGGCGGCUUCUCAAGUCAGGGGUGAAAGCCCAGAGCUCAACUCUGGAAUUGCCUUUGAGACUGAGUGGCUUGAGUACGAGAGAGGUGAGUGGAAUUCCCAGUGUAGAGGUGAAAUUCGUAGAUAUUGGGAAGAACACCGGUGGCGAAGGCGGCGACCUGGUCCGAUACUGACGCUGAGGCGCGAAAAGCGUGGGGGAGCAAACAGG